rnacentral:lncRNA from 1 species
AAGAUGUUGAAAGCAGUGGACUGGGAUCCAGGGGAUGUAGAUUAAAUUCCUUGUCUCUGCUGCAAACUUCCUGUGUGGCCUGGAGCAAACUGCAGCACUUGGUCUGCGUUUUAGUUUCAGACACGUGUGUGGGGUGCAGCUAAUGAGCCCUUUCUCCUGCCCUUUGUCUCCUUACUCUUCUUAGAGAUGUUCUUUAGAGAAGGUCUGCAGAGAUUCUCUGGGGCACAUGGAAGUUUCAACGGGAGGCCCAAAACGCAGUAAGGUGUGUUUCUUUAGUGAAGAGAAGCUAGAGAACUUAAUCUCAUAUCACAGAGCAGAUUGCUGAUGCACAAAGAGGAAAACAUCUCAGCCAGAAAAACUUCCUAGGCCAUGGCAGUAAAAUGGACAGAGAAGAGAGUCACCAGAAAGGAAGCGAGGAAACCAGAAACAAGACCACUGACACUUUGUUUCAUCCAAGGAAGUGGCAAAUCCUUUGACCUCCAAAAGGCAAACACCACCAGGAACUGCUCAGGGAACUUAGAAAGCUCAGCCUUCAAUCAAAUUGGCUUGAAACUGGCUAACUGAUUCAGAAGUUACUGGGAAGACACAAAGGUACACAAGUACAGUGUGAUAAUACAACCUCUGCUUGUUAUCAAAGCCAGGCUAAAAGAUAGUCUGAUUACUCCAAAGAAGAUAACAGAAACUGU